ACUUAUCACCAGGCACUGUAGGAAGUACCCUCCUUGAAACCAGACUCUGUUUGGUCUGGCUGCUGCCCUUGCUGCUACUGCUAAUACAUCUUCCUCCUAUUAAGCAGACAUCAUUAAACAACCAACCAUGAUAAACGUAAACCUCAUACUCCUCAUAGUGAGCUGUUCUCUCCUUAUCUUAAUUAUAUCGUUAUUGACACUACUGUUCCAGUUGAUCAUGGGUAAAAAAUCACCCAAGAAGUUGUAUCCUGGAGGGAAAAAAGUAACUGCAAUUCGAAACCACAUUCCCUUCGUUCCACUUAGCAUCAACCGCAUACUUUUAGCCAGUGGUGUUCGACGUGGUCCUGGUAAAAAGCAAGCAUCAGUCAAGACAAAUUCACUCAACAGCAAGGUAGACAAACUAGAACAGUUUAUGAUGAUAAAAGGCCUGUAUGAUUGCGUGAAAAUCAUCAAGAAACCCACUCGAAAGCCAGACAAGGAUUCUGACAGCGAUGGUAACAAUUAAAACACUGAUGCUAUGCAGUUGUUUGUGGCAACAUAAAAAAAUGAUGCAUUAAAAGAAUGUGGGUGUCAGAUUCA